GGGACUGAGGGUGGAGGCUGGGAGAGUUUGGGUGCCAUCCUCCUGUGACAGAUGGAUGGACCUUUCAUCUAAGAGAAAGGAGGAGACACGUUGGCAAAUCAGCCUCAAGCCUAAGAUUGCUUGUGAAGCAAUCAUAAGGAGGAACAAAAACAGACACAAAAACAGAGGGAAAGAGCGAAAAGACAAGAAGGGCGCAAACUGUGACAGACUCACCGCUUCACUAACUACUCACUUAAACUGGAAGCAAAAUGUCCCUAAAAUUGCCAAGGAACUGGGAUUUCAACCUGAAAAUGGAGGCUGUGAAAAUAGUAAAUGCUAAAGGGAGUCCUUCCUGCAGGUUGAUAUAAAAGGACACUAAACAAUAACUUGAUGCCAUAUGAAGAAAAAAAGAUCUCAGCAAAGCUCGGUCAAGGAGUGUGAUGACUGGCGAGCAGAUGGCUGCCUUCCAUCCAUCGUCCACCCCCAACCCGCUGGAGAGGCCCAUCAAGAUGGGCUGGCUGAAGAAGCAGAGGUCCAUCGUGAAGAACUGGCAGCAGAGGUACUUUGUGCUGAGGGCUCAGCAGCUCUGCUACUACAAGGACGAAGAGGACACGAAGCCC
rnacentral:sRNA from 1 species